GAAAAAACGGAAGCUGAGCAAGCCCCGGAGGGACAGCUGGGUUGCCACUGAAGCUUUGUGAGACCUCAGCUCCUUGGCCUUUUUCUCACCGCAAGCAGCAUGGAACCGAGACUACUUACUGAAGGCAAUUAUUUGGAAGAGUUCUAAACAGAUGGAGUUAAUUUGAAGAAAGUCCUUCAUUUCCUCACAAGCCAUAGAGUGUUUCCCCAAAUUGGAUUUAUUUAUCUCCAGAUACUGAAGUUUCUGACCAACCAAGGCUACAGGCCGUACAGAGUUUGGGGUAGCUUUGGAUAUCUGCAGCCAAAACAGCAACUCUGAUUGCCUAGGCAUGGACGUUCUAGACAAAGGAGGGGGGAAUGUUCACUAAAGGCACAGAAAGCAAGGCCUUGGAUAAAGUACAGUAUUCGCAUGGAGCCAUGACCCUCUGAGGGACCCCACGCUGCUGAAAACCCACUGACAGGCCUGAGAACAAUAGAAGCCCUUUAGAAAUUCCAUAACACAGUGAUGGGAGCAGUGGAGAAGUGAAAGCAGAGAAAGAGUUGGAGAACAGAAAGCAGAAGACAGCAAGAACAAAGAGCUUGUGCAGGAAUCAAAGUUUCGUAACUCAACAACCUCUUUGAACCCAAACAUACUCCCUCUACUGCUCAAAAACGAUACCCGAUGAAUUGAGCUUAACGGAAAAAAUCCUUCCCAGUAAGAGUAAAGGUUUGGACAUCUAUGUUGAGUCAGAGCCCAGUGAGGGUGGAACACAGACCACCUCCCCUCUGCAGAAUUGGAAUCAGGUCCAAAAGCUGUUCUCAGGAACAGAUGGAAACCAGGGCCGUUCCCAGGGCCAAAGGCGUGAAAUGUUCCAAUCACCCAGACCCACUCAGCAUUCUCUCGCUAAACAGUGACACAGCUCAGCAUAUGGCAUGCUGGACACCAUGUGCAGUGCAGGACCACAGCCAAAGACAGACUUGGUCUGGUUUAAAAGACAUGGGCUAGCUUUAAGAAUUCAGGAGGUAGACCUAGGAAGUAUCUUUACAUGGAAGAGAUCCAGCAAGUUGAAAGAACUACUGUGAAGGGCCGCAUCCACAUGCCCCAUUACAAGAUGGCACUGGCAUCCGGUUUCACCGCCAGGUGAACGCACAUGUGCUAGGUAACUUUCCACUGC